UAUUUUAUGAAAAAUUAGGUAUUAUUGUAUGCAAAAUUAGUUAAAUUAUUUGUAAUAAGUUUAUAUUAUUUUAUGAAAAAUUAGAUAAGCUAUUUUCGAGAAGAAUUCUAAUUUAUGUUAUGAUUGUGAGACCAAAUCAAGCUUUAGAGAGCAACCUAGCUAGCAUUGAGGUAGACCAACCAAGUAAGUGACUCUACCAUUGGCUCAAUUAAAAUAAUUGUUUUAUGUAUGAUGACACGUGUUCAGUGACCUCGCACGUGUCAUGUGUUGGUUAUGAUUGUUAUGAUGGUAUGAUAUGUUGUCAUGAUGAGUUACAUUAUGAUGAUAGGAAUGUCUCAUCGUAAGUGGCCCUACUAGGCCAGGCCAGAACAGACUAGACCAGACCAAGUGACCCUAUUGACCAAACCAGGCCAGUUAAGUGACCCUACUAGACCAAACCAAGUGACCAGGCUAGACCAAAGCAGAUCGGGCCAGGUAAGUGACCAGGCUAGACCAAAGCAGAUCGGGCCAGGUAAGUGACCAGGCUAGACCAAAGUAGACCGGGCCAGGUAAGUGACCAGGCUAGACCAAAGCAGACCGGGCCAGGUAAGUGACCCUACUAGACCAAACCAUGUGACCAGGCUAGACCAAAGCAGACCGGGCCAGGUAAGUGACCCUACUAGACCAAACCAGACCAGGCCAGGUAAGUGACCCUACUAGACCAAACCAGACCAGGCCAGGUAAGUGACCCUACUAGACCAAACCAGGCCAGGCCAGGUAAGUGACCCUACUAGACCAAACCAAGUGACCAGGCUAGACCAAAGCAGACCAGGCCAGGCGACCCUACCAGACCAAGUAGGUGGCCAUACUAGGCUAGGCCAAACCAGGCCAGUGGCCCUGCUAGGUCAUGCUAGAACAAACCAGACCAGGUAGGUGGCCCUACUAGGCCAUGCCAGACCAGACCAGGUAGGUGGCCCUACUAGGCCAUGCCAUACCAGACCAAACCAAACCAGGUAGGUGGCCCUACUAGGCCAUGCCAGACCAGACCAGACCAGACCAAACCAGGUAGGUGGUCCUACUAGGCCAGACCGAACCAAGUAAGUGGCCCUACUGUCGUCUAGAUAAAAAGAAUUGCCUUUAUAUGAUGUAAUAUGGUAUGAUGACACGAUACAUUAUGAUGAUACCUCAUGUUACAAUAA